AUAGAUACCCGGGUAGUCCACGCCGUAAACGAUGGAUACUAGCUGUUUGGGUAGUAAUACUGAGUGGCUAAGCGAAAGUGAUAAGUAUCCCACCUGGGGAGUACGGGCGCAAGCCUGAAACUCAAAGGAAUUGACGGGGGCCCGCACAAGGCGGUGGAGCAUGUGGUUUAAUUCGAUGAUACGCGAGGAACCUUACCAGGGCUUAAAUGUAGUUUGACGUUAUUGGAAACAGUAAUUUCUUCGGACAAAUUACAAGGUGCUGCAUGGUUGUCGUCAGCUCGUGCCGUGAGGUGUCAGGUUAAGUCCUAUAACGAGCGCAACCCCUGUUGUUAGUUGCCAGCGAGUAACGUCGGGAACUCUAGCAAGACUGCCAGUGUAAACUGCGAGGAAGGUGGGGAUGACGUCAAAUCAUCACGGCCCUUACGUCCUGGGGCCACACACGUGCUACAAUGGCCGGUACAGAGAGCAGCCACUAUGCGAAUAGGAGCGAAUCUAUAAAGCCGGUCACAGUUCGGAUCGGAGUCUGCAACUCGACUCCGUG
rnacentral:rRNA from 1 species